AUUGAACGCUGGCGGCAGGCCUAACACAUGCAAGUCGAGCGGAUGAAGGGAGCUUGCUCCUGGAUUCAGCGGCGGACGGGUGAGUAAUGCCUAGGAAUCUGCCUGGUAGUGGGGGAUAACGUCCGGAAACGGGCGCUAUUACCGCAUACGUCCUGAGGGAGAAAGUGGGGGAUCUUCGGACCUCACGCUAUCAGAUGAGCCUAGGUCGGAUUAGCUAGUUGGUGGGGUAAAGGCCUACCAAGGCGACGAUCCGUAACUGGUCUGAGAGGAUGAUCAGUCACACUGGAACGGGGACACGGACCAGACUCGGACGGGAGGCAGCGGUGGGGAGUAUUGGACAGUGGGCGGAGGCGUGAUCCAGCCAUGCCGCGUGUGUGAAGAAGGGCUUCGGAGUGUAAAGCACUUUAGGUUGGGAGGAAGGGCAGUAAGGUAAUACCUGGCUGUUAUGACAUUACCAACAGGAUAAGCACCGGCUAACUUCGUG
rnacentral:rRNA from 1 species